CUACGGGUCGCUGCAGUGGGGAAUAUUGCACAAUGGGCGCAAGCCUGAUGCAGCCAUGCCGCGUGUAUGAAGAAGGCCUUCGGGUUGUAAAGUACUUUCAGCGGGGAGGAAGGGAGUAAAGUUAAUACCUUUGCUCAUUGACGUUACCCGCAGAAGAAGCACCGGCUAACUCCGUGCCAGCAGCCGCGGUAAUACGGAGGGUGCAAGCGUUAAUCGGAAUUACUGGGCGUAAAGCGCACGCAGGCGGUUUGUUAAGUCAGAUGUGAAAUCCCCGGGCUCAACCCGGGAACUGCAUCUGAUACUGGCAAGCGUGAGUCUCGUAGAGGGGGGUAGAAUUCCAGGUGUAGCGGUGAAAUGCGUAGAGAUCUGGAGGAAUACCGGUGGCGAAGGCGGCCCCCUGGACGAAGACUGACGCUCAGGUGCGAAAGCGUGGGGAACAAACAGGAUUAGAUACCCCGGUAGUC
rnacentral:rRNA from 1 species